GAUGAACGCUAGCUACAGGCUUAACACAUGCAAGUCGAGGGGAAACGAUAGAGAAAGCUUGCUUUUCUAGGCGUCGACCGGCGCACGGGUGAGUAACGCGUAUCCAACCUGCCCACCACUUGGGGAUAACCUUGCGAAAGUAAGACUAAUACCCAAUGACGUCUCUAGAAGGCAUCUGAAAGGGAUUAAAGAUUUAUCGGUGAUGGAUGGGGAUGCGUCUGAUUAGCUUGUUGCGGGGUAACGGCCCACCAAGGCGACGAUCAGUAGGGGUUCUGAGAGGAAGGUCCCCCACAUUGGAACUGAGACACGGUCCAAACUCCUACGGGAGGCAGCAGUGAGGAAUAUUGGUCAAUGGGCGAGAGCCUGAACCAGCCAAGUAGCGUGCAGGAUGACGGCCCUAUGGGUUGUAAACUGCUUUUAUAAGGGAAUAAAGUGAGUCUCGUGAGACUUUUGCAUGUACCUUAUGAAUAAGGACCGGCUAAUUCCGUG
rnacentral:rRNA from 1 species